rnacentral:rRNA from 1 species
GAUGAACGCUGGCGGCGUGCCUAAUACAUGCAAGUCGAGCGAACGGACGAGAAGCUUGCUUCUCUGAUGUUAGCGGCGGACGGGUGAGUAACACGUGGAUAACCUACCUAUAAGACUGGGAUAACUUCGGGAAACCGGAGCUAAUACCGGAUGAUAUUUUGAACCGCAUGGUUCAAAAGUGAAAGACGGUCUUGCUGUCACUUAUAGAUGGAUCCGCGCUGCAUUAGCUAGUUGGUAAGGUAACGGCUUACCAAGGCAACGAUGCAUAGCCGACCUGAGAGGGUGAUCGCCCACACUGGAACUGAGACACGGUCCAGACUCCGACAGGAGGCAGCAGUAGGGAAUCCUCCGCAAUGGGCGAAAGCCUGACGGAGCAACGCCGCGUGAGGGAUGAAGGUCUUAGGAUCGUAAAACGCUGUUGUUAGGGAGGAACAAAUGUGUAAGUAACUGUGCACAUCAUGACGGUACCUAAUGAGAAAGCCACGGCUAACUACGUG